AUAUGCCUUUUGGUGGGGGACAACAGUUGGAAACGACUGCUAAUACCGCAUGAUGUCUACGGACCAAAGUGGGGGACCUUCGGGCCUCACGCCAAAAGAUUAGCCCAAGUAGGAUUAGCUAGUUGGUAAGGUAAUGGCUUACCAAGGCAACGAUCCCUAGCUGGUUUGAGAGGAUGAUCAGCCACACUGGGACUGAGACACGGCCCAGACUCCUACGGGAGGCAGCAGUGGGGAAUAUUGCACAAUGGGCGAAAGCCUGAUGCAGCCAUGCCGCGUGUGUGAAGAAGGCCUUCGGGUUGUAAAGCACUUUCAGUCAGGAGGAAAGGGUGUGUUUUAAUAGAGCAUAUCUGUGACGUUACUGACAGAAGAAGCACCGGCUAACUCCGUGCCAGCAGCCGCGGUAAUACGGAGGGUGCGAGCGUUAAUCGGAAUUACUGGGCGUAAAGCGUACGCAGGCGGUUUGUUAAGCGAGAUGUGAAAGCCCCGGGCUCAACCUGGGAACUGCAUUUCGAACUGGCAAACUAGAGUGUGAUAGAGGGUGGUAGAAUUUCAGGUGUAGCGGUGAAAUGCGUAGAGAUCUGAAGGAAUACCGAUGGCGAAGGCAGCCACCUGGGUCAACACUGACGCUCAUGUACGAAAGCGUGGGGAGCAAACAG
rnacentral:rRNA from 1 species